GUAAGUCUAUAUAAACAUGCAUCCAUUUAUACCUUGAAGUAACAGGCAACAACCAUUGCAAAUAAGCUAGGGGAUAUGAGGGUGUUCUGUCGCAGGAGUGAUGGCCCCAGCUGUGGUAAAUAUAUUUAUGAUAUGAAUAUUGUCAUAGUCAGCGCCAUCCUGCUGUGACAGAAUACCCUUAAACCUCUAUUCAAUCAGAAGUUGUCAUGCUCUUUCUUUCUGCAUACAGUUCAUUAUAUUCAGUACAUGUACUUACAACGUUGUAAUAUUGAUUACAUUUAUCAUAAAUUUUUUAGUCUUAAAUUAGCCAAGUAAGUUUUAAUUUAUAGUUAUAUAUAUUUAAAGUUCUUUUAAAAGUUUUAUCAAACACACUCUUUCUUUUUAUGUCUUUGAUCACUAUUCACUACUAUUGCUAGUGCAUCAUGUAUGUUCUUGAAUUGAAUGGUAUGAAGAAGGUUUCUAUCAUCAAGUUAAUUGUAUCUAUAGGUUCAAGUGUUGCUGUUGUUGUAACUUUGUUCUACUUAAUUUAGUGUUGUUUGCUAGCAGACUCCAGUUUGUCAAUCAUUGUUGUAUAAUUAAAACAACCUCCAAAUCCUCCCUCUAAAGUCUCUAAAGCAUAAAAUAUAACUUUCAGAUCUUCCCUUUCUUUCCUCAUAUGAUCUGGUGGAAAGACCUAGUUCACAUGUGAAGUGGGCUCCAAGGUUUCUGGCUUCAAAGUUUUCACGCCUGCUAGCUGCUAUAGUCAUCAUGUGUGAUUUGACAAUUUCACCAAUCAUCAAAUAAGCUCCACAGAAAUAUAUAGAGUUUGGCACAUUAGAAAAGUAUAUAUAUUUGCUGUCCCACCAUGGAUUCGAGGUCCAUAUAUAUGAUGAGCUAUACCAGGUGGCGGGUCUCAGGAACAUAUACAUUCAUUAGUUUACCAGAAAGUAUGCUUGGUUUUCAAUUAAAAACCACAUUUGGUACAUCAAAAUUUGAGAAUGCGCGUUGUACGGCCUCAUAACACACGAAACAUGGUUUGGGUUUUGUUAGAUAUAUUAGGUUUCUUAUAUUAUUUAGGUCUAAGGGUAGCUUAGUCUUUUAGCAUUUUUAGUACUCCCUCCGGUCCUAUUUAUAAGCAUGAAAGAGAAGAAAAACCUUGGUCCUUUUUAUAAGAACUAAAUGAAAGUUUGAGCUAUAUUAAUUAAUUUUUUCCAAUGAUGCCCUUAUUAAUUCUAACUUGUAAAAUGUGUCUCAUUAAUUAUUCUCUCUAUUUCCCACUUUCCAACACUAAUAACAAAGGGUAAUUUUGGAAGUUUAUUUUGAUUUCAGACAAAUUUAAUGCAUUUUAUCUAGUUUAACUACAUUUCUUAAACUAUGUGAAUUUUUUUUUUUGUUGCUUAUAAAUAGGACCGGAGGGAGUAUUUGUCUAUUUAUAGUUGUUAUGUUGCUAUCUAUUGUAACCUGAAUAUUCACAAUGUAACCCUAGCUGUUUCACGUUCUCUCUUUCUCCCUCUCCCUUCUUUCUUUGUAUUAUUAUUGUUAACACAGUUGAGUUUAACUUAAAACCAAACAUGCAUGUAUGUAGUUGUUGGAGAGAUUAUUAAUUUUCUGCAUCUUUAAUCCUAGCUGCUUUUGGCCCUUUUGAUAUUUUCAUAAUUAAAUCGCACAAUCAUUUCAAAAUCCGUUUAAUAUAAUACAUACAUAAAAUUAAUAAUAUGACUGGUUCUGUUAUAUUAAUUUAAUGUAACCAUCAAAAUUAUCUGUAAGCUAGCUUCUGUGGAGGUAAAUGCCAUCACCGAAUAAGCACUCAAGUUAUAAUUAACUAGUCUUUGGGUAUUCACUUGCAAGAGACUGACUCAGAGACCCACCUCCCUUAUAAAUAUGGUAUUCGAACAUAGAACAAAUUACAGGCAUGUAUGAAUCAGAAUGAGAAGAAGGAGAUAGCUUGCAGAAAGAAAAGUUCAGAGAAGAAAUGUUUAGGGACUUCUGUCGCGGGAGAGAUGACACGCACCUUCUGUUACUUUAGUUAGCACUAGCUAGUUACGCUAUCAUCUCUCCUCGGCUGAAGCCCCUUUGCACUUUCUGUACAUUUUUCCAAAUUCACAUUCUAAUUUGGAAUCUCAGAUCAAUUGAAAUCAUAGAGCCAAGCUAGUCAACUGGAUUAAGCAUCUAAUCUGAGGAGGAAUCAUUCAUGAGCUGGUAUGUAGGGCAAUGAUUAGAGCUCUUUUACACACUCCAUGCGUGGGAGUUUACUGUUAUGAAUUAGAUGAUGAUUAAUUAAUCUAUCCUGAUGAAAUUCCUGCGUUUCAUGUGAAUCCAAAACCAAUGAUUGAUCGAGUUUUGCAAAGAUAUAUUCCAAUCAAGACUAGUGUUUUUAUUUUUUGAUCUUUUCCUACUUCUUAUAAUUAAGCUCUAAUCAGGUGGUGUCAUAUCUGUAAUUGGACCGUUAGGGUAUUGUGUCCAUCAAGUUACUAAUAUUGUGUCCAGGUCUUAACAUUUUGAUCUAUUGCUGACAUGAGUUGCUGACAUGAGCCAUUCACUACAAAGUAAAGUGUCCAGAUGCAUCUCCCUCACCUCAUUAUUAGGUGCCUCAAAUUCUCAGACAAUACAGUAUUACAUUUGACCUACUUGGCUCUCCGGAUAUUUUUUGAUAUCUUUUUCUAAUUUGUCAGAUUUUAAAAGUAGAAAACGGUUGUACAAUACUACACUUUCUACACAUUAAUCAUUUCCCCACACACUUUUCUUUUAUUUCAUUGUCUCUCUCUCUUUGUUGUCUUGUGCAUAGAAAUUGUAUGACCAGACAGAGGCUCUCAUAUAUAAAAAGAGGGGUAAAUUGUCA